rnacentral:rRNA from 1 species
GACGAACGCUGGCGGCGUGCUUAACACAUGCAAGUCGAACGAUGAACCCGGAGCUUGCUCCGGUGGAUUAGUGGCGAACGGGUGAGUAACACGUGAGUAACCUGCCCUUGACUCUGGGAUAACUGCGGGAAACUGUAGCUAAUACCGGAUACGACCCUCGGCGGCAUCGCCAGGGGGUGGAAAGAAUUUCGGUCAAGGAUGGACUCGCGGCCUAUCAGCUAGUUGGUGGGGUAACGGCUCACCAAGGCGACGACGGGUAGCCGGCCUGAGAGGGUGACCGGCCACACUGGGACUGGGACACGGCCCAGACUCCUACGGGAGGCAGCAGUGGGGAAUAUUGCACAAUGGGCGCAAGCCUGAUGCAGCAACGCCGCGUGAGGGAUGACGGCCUUCGGGUUGUAAACCUCUUUUGUCAGGGAAGAAACACCGGCUCUAACACAGUCCGGGAAUGACGGUACCUGAAGAAUAAGCACCGGCUAAC